rnacentral:lncRNA from 1 species
UUGCCUCGAUUUUUAUUUUUAUUUUUAACAUUUAUUUUCUAUUUUAAAAGAUUUGGAAAUUUUUAUGUUAAAAAUUUAAGUAAUAGAAAAAAGAUUUAUUUAACUUUUAUCAUCAUCAAUACUACUAAUUUAUUUGACGUUUUUUCUUAAUCUUCAUCUCAUCAUUAAUGUUAUUUAUAUAAUUUUCUUAAAUCACUUAUUUUUUCUUUUUUAACUCUUUUAUAUUUUAUUUUACUUCUUCUUAUUUAGAAUGGGAGUUUGGAGGAUCAACAUUGCACUAAAGAGUUGGAUUAAAAGCUAUAGAAAUUGUACAUUGAGGCCCACCAAAAAGAUGAACUAAAGUAACUUCAUCUACUUCUACUUUUUCUACACAUAUUUUUCUUUAAUAAAAUAAUUAUUGCCUCCAUUUUUAUUUUAUUUUUUAACAUUUAUUUUUAAUUUUAAAACAUUGGAAAUUUUAUGUUAAAAAUUUAAAUAAUAGAAAAAAUGAUUUAUUUAACUUUUAUCAUCAUCAAUACUACUAAUUUAUUUGACGUUUUUUCUUAAUCUUCAUCUCAUCAUUAAUGUUAUUUAUAUAAUUUUCUUAAAUCACUUAUUUUUUCUUUUUUAACUCUUUUAUAUAUAUAAAAGUUGGAUAUGUAAAUGAUGAUGUCACAUUUCUUAGAAGCUAAGAUUACUCUCUUAUUUAGAAGUGAGACUUAGAACGACUAACACUGCAUUAAUACUCUUGUACAACAUGCAUACAAUUUUGUACAUUAACUUUUGACUGCAUUAAUUAGUUGUACAAAGUGCAAAAAGAAUUGUACAUUAAUAGAAGGACUAACACCAAGGACUAACAUUGCAAUUAUUAUUAUUACUCAUUACUUUAUAGAAUUAUUAUUAUUACUCAUUUGGCUCCUUAUUAGAGUUGACACUUUAAAGCACGAACACGGCACUACCAUGUUGUACACAAAGCAUUUCAAAUUGUACUAUAAAAUUAAUUGUGCCUCAUUAAUUGUACACGUGCCUUUCUACAUAUACAACAACCCACAUGAAGAAUUAAUUUUCUGACAAUUUUGGUUAUAUUUUUCUUUAAAAUAAUUAUUGCCUCGAUUUUUAUUUUAUUUUUUAACAUUUAUUUUUAAUUUUAAAAGAUUGGAAAUUUUAUGUUAAAAAUUUAAAUAAUAGAAAAAAUGAUUUAUUUAACUUUUAUCAUCAUCAAUACUACUAAUUUAUUUGACGUUUUUUCUUAAUCUUCAUCUCAUCAUUAAUGUUAUUUAUAUAAUUUUCUUAAAUCACUUAUUUUUUCUUUUUUAACUCUUUUAUAU